rnacentral:lncRNA from 1 species
GACGGAAUUGGAAUUGGCUGCACGGAUUUCGAGAAAAAGGGGUUUAAUGGUUUUUUUCAUAUAGUUGUCUAUAUAAGUGGUUUAUGGGUGGAGAUUGAGAGGGCAGGUUUCGUCGCUGAUGGGAGACCAAAUCAGACGAAAUAAAAUGCUAGAUUCGAUGCCCCAGUCGUGCUGAACGCGCUGGCGCAAUCCGUUCGGAAAUCCGACGGACGGAUCUUCGGGAAUCGUGAAAUGUCCGCUGAGAGGUCAAGUUGGCAAGAUCGAUUAUUCGCGGAAACGUCCAAUAUUUU